rnacentral:rRNA from 1 species
GUAGGUGGCAAGCGUUGUCCGGAAUUAUUGGGCGUAAAGCGCGCGCAGGUGGUUCUUUAAGUCUGAUGUGAAAGCCCCCGGGCUCAACCGGGGAGGGUCAUUGGAAACUGGGGAACUUGAGUGCAGGAGAGGAAAGUGGAAUUCCACGUGUAGCGGUGAAAUGCGUAGAUAUGUGGAGGAACACCAGUGGCGAAGGCGACUUUCUGGCCUGUAACUGACACUGAGGCGCGAAAGCGUGGGGAGCAAACAGGAUUAGAUACCCUGGUAGUCCACGCCGUAAACGAUGAGUGCUAAGUGUUGGGGGGUUUCCGCCUCUCAGUGCUGCAGCUAACGCAUUAAGCACUCCGCCUGGGGAGUACGGUCGCAAGACUG